GAUGAACGCUGGCGGCGUGCCUAAUACAUGCAAGUCGAGCGAACGGACGAGAAGCUUGCUUCUCUGAUGUUAGCGGCAGACGGGUGAGUAACACGUGGAUAACCUACCUAUAAGACUGGGAUAACUUCGGGAAACCGGAGCGAAUACCGGAUAAUAUUUUGAACCGCAUGGUUCAAAAGUGAAAGACGGUCUUGCUGUCACUUAUAGAUGGAUCCGCGCUGCAUUAGCUAGUUGGUAAGGUAACGGCUUACCAAGGCAACGAUGCAUAGCCGACCUGAGAGGGUGAUCGGCCACACUGGCACUGAGACACGGUCCAGACUCCUACGGGAGGCAGCAGUCGGGAAUCUUCCGCAAUGGGCGAAAGCCUGACGGAGCAACGCCGCGUGAGUGAUGAAGGUCUUCGGAUCGUAAAACUCUGUUAUUAGGGAAGAACAUAUGUGUAAGUAACUGUGCACAUCUUGACGGUACCUAAUCAGAAAGCCACGGCUAACUACGUG
rnacentral:rRNA from 1 species